AAGUCGUAACAAGGUUUCCGUAGGUGAACCUGCGGAAGGAUCAUUAAUGAGUCUUUGAAGUGGGUUUGAUGCUGGUCUUUCGAGGCAUGUGCUCGCCCUAUUCUCAUCCACUCACACCUGUGCACCUUACGUUUAAGAAGUGGUUGUUGCCUCCCUUCGGGUUGGCAGGCUAGGGAAACCUAGCUAUGGCCCUUCUUUGCGUUACUUUACACAAACUCUUGAAUGUCAUAGAAUGUUUAUUGGCCUACGGGCUUUAAUUUAAAUACAACUUUCAACAACGGAUCUCUUGGCUCUC
rnacentral:misc_RNA from 1 species